UACAAAAAGGUCAAUCACAAUCUUAUGUAAGAAAUAAAUACAAUGAAAAAGAGUUCAAUGUUGAGUUUGAAAGUCUGUUGGAUGAAGAUCAUAAAUUAGAAGAG
rnacentral:lncRNA from 1 species